GACGCCACCUCACGCUCCGCCCCGGCGCAAACUCGCUCCCUGCGUUCAUUUCAUUCCUGUUCUCAUUCCGAGCAUUCUUCGCAUCUCUGUCAGUGCGCGAAGCGAUUCACCUACACCUUCCUGGCUGGCCCAGAAACACCAGAAUAACUUGACAUAGUAUUCAAAAUACCCAGUAACAUCAUAAUAUCAAAAGAAAGGGACAUUUGUAUAUGAGGUAUCAAUAACGAGUUGGCUCAGCCGGGAGUUGUUGGAGGCUUUUCGGACCACCUCGGAGGAAGAAAGAGCUACACGGCGGGGGAGAGACUUGUUGCGUCGGCUCGGUGGACGGUGCAGCCUCGGAUUACCGUCGAAAGUUUAGUGUGUCUCUCCCUAGUUUGCUCCAGGCUUCAGCUUGGAGAACCCAACCGCCAAGAUUGAUCCCAGCAGCUGGAGUGGCAGCGAGAGCCCUGCCGAGGACAUGGAGAGGAUGAGCGACACGGCAGACAAGCCCGUGGACAACGACGCCGAAGGGGUUUGGAGUCCUGAUAUAGAGCAGAGUUUCCAAGAGGCCCUGGCCAUCUACCCUCCCUGUGGGCGCAGGAAGAUCAUCCUAUCAGAUGAAGGGAAGAUGUAUGGUCGAAAUGAGCUGAUAGCCAGAUACAUCAAGCUUCGUACCGGAAAGACGAGGACUCGCAAGCAGGUGUCUAGUCACAUACAGGUCUUAGCAAGAAAGAAAGUUCGAGAAAUCCAAGCAGCCAUUAAGGUACGUCUGGCUUCGCCCUGUUGCAGGGGGCUUUUCAUUGCCAUGGUUACAGGCUCUUCCUUUGUUUUCCUCCCCUCCCCUACCCCGCAGGUGUCUAGUCACAUUCAGGUUCUUGCCAGAAGAAAAUCUCGUGAGUUUCAUUCCAAGCUAAAGGUUACAAGUAUGGACCAAGCCGUGAAGGACAAAGCCCUCCAGAGCAUGGCCUCCAUGUCCUCGGCUCAGAUCGUCUCUGCCACGGCUAUUCACAACAAACUCGGCCUGCCAGGCAUCCCCCGUCCUGCCUUCCCCGGACCAGGGCUAUGGCAGGGUAUGAUAUCGACUGGUCAACCGGGGUCCUCACAAGAUAUUAAACCUUUCACCCAGCAACCAUAUCCCCUCCAGCCAGCAGUCACAACGGCCAUUUCAAGUUAUGAACCCGCAGCAGCUCCAGCACCAACAGCUCCAGCGUGGCAGGGUCGCUCCAUCGGCACAUCGAAACUCCGUCUGGUGGAGUUCUCCGCCUUCUUAGAGCAACAGCGAGACCCAGACUCGUACAACAAGCACCUGUUUGUUCACAUCGGACAGACGAAUCAUUCCUACAGCGACGCCCUGCUGGAGUCGGUGGAUAUCCGUCAGAUUUAUGAUAAAUUCCCAGAAAAAAAAGGAGGGCUGAAGGAGCUUCACGGGAAAGGGCCCCAGAAUUCCUUCUUCCUCAUAAAAUUCUGGGCUGACCUGAACCGCAACAUUCAGGAUGACGCCGGGUCUUUUUACGGAGUGACCAGCCAGUAUGAGAGUUCAGAGAACAUGACCAUAACGUGUUCAACAAAGGUUUGCUCCUUCGGCAAACAGGUCGUUGAGAAAGUAGAGACUGAAUACGCGCGAUUUGAAAACGGGCGCUUUGUCUACCGGAUCAGCCGGUCUCCCAUGUGUGAAUACAUGAUCAACUUCAUCCACAAGCUAAAACAUCUGCCAGAGAAAUACAUGAUGAACAGCGUUCUGGAGAACUUCACCAUCUUAUUGGUGGUGUCCAACAGAGAGACCCAGGAGACGUUGCUGUGCAUGGCGUGUGUGUUUGAGGUUUCUAACAGCGAGCACGGCGCCCAGCAUCACAUCUACAGACUGGUAAAGGAAUGAAAGCCUCCGCCGCACAGAGACGCUUUCUUGGUUCUUUCAUGGACUUUCCAACCUCAAAACAAGUGACAGUGCCUCUAAGCGAAAGUCAUCGCUCUCUGGUGGCCGAGGUAUCAGUUUUCAAAGGAAAUUCCUCUGACUCAAGAAAAGAAACGACCGGCUCCUAAUGGCACAAACCUGCCGGUGUUCCCUAAUCCCUGGAAUGUGUCACUUUGUGUUCCUGGCAGCUUUUGCUCACUCUCCUGGAUGGACCUGCCAUGAAGUCACUAAUGAAGGUAUUGACUUGAGAGUUGGGACUUCAAUGUGAGCGCUGAGUUGAAAGCCGCUCAGAGAGCACUUAGCCCGCUGCUAACAGACCGAGGCCACCGGUGUGCGCUCAUUAGACCUCAUUGUGCUGGUGGCAGGUGUGUUAAUCCUGUCAGGCUGGGUGGUGACCCCGUAACCCCAACUGUGGGAUACUGUACGGUCUCUUUCCGAGCCACUCAAUGCCUGUCAACCCCUAUUUGGAGUAAAUUUAGCCCGACCCCUUCAUCGGCCGCUGCGCUAUGCUUCAGCAAUCAGUUCAAACACAAUCAGUGCAGCAACAAAAUUGCAGAAUAUUUUGCUCCAUUUUCUCUUCGUGAAACCACAAACACCUGAAGCGAUGAAGUUAUAAUACUGUGGUGUGAUGAUUGACACUACAAAUUUAAUUAUUUUGACCAAUAAGAUGUGAUGAUUCAAUAUGAAUAUGAAAUAUCAACCUGAUUGAUCUUUGAAUGUUUAAUCAGAAGAUUCUAGGGUUCUUUGUUUAUUCGGGGACACUAAACACACUUCGUAUUAAUUCAGAGAGAGCCAAGCAUAUGGUUUAUAAAAUGAAUUAAUUUAUUUUUCCUAAACUAAUGAUUAUACAUGACAAGGUGCGAGUAUAUGUAUUGUAAUAGAUAUGAAGUGAUUUAAUACGAUGUGUGUAAUGGAAGCUAGAUGUUUUAGCUAAACUGUUCUUUGUGUCUGAGAGAAUUUGUGAAGUCUGGGUUAUAAAAUAAAAUUGUUGUUUGUUUAUAAACUAGAGAGUUGUUUAUUAAUCUCAUCCGACGCCAGUGUGCAAGCUACGAUACCCUUGGUAUGAGUCGCUCCCGGUGGUCCGGAGGAGUGCGGUCCGAGUGGUGAGGUCACUGGAUGUAGAAACCACAAUACUCAGAGAUUAGUAGCUUCCAGCUUCACCGGCCAUGGGAUGCAACCCGGGGUCUGCAGGUUAGAUGUCUGAGGUGUGAAGUAGCUCUGUAAAGAGCUGUUUUGCCCAUAAUUGUGGAAGUCACAGGAGACUGUUUCAAAAAGACUUCUUCCCCGAUUUGGCCGGAUCGGGAGUCAGCUGGAAAACAGAAAUAAUCGGGAAGUAAUUCUUGUUCUAUUGAACUCAUUGUUUAUACAUUUUGGCAAGUUUAGCAAAUCAGAAUUUGACACGUUUGAGGGUUUUACCAAACCGUCAGAAGCCACGCCUUCUUCAGAUACAAAGGUGUUUAACACUUUGUGAAUGAGAAUGUUUUAAAACACUCAUCUGAAGUGAAUAUUAACAUUAAUAGGUAUCUUAUUGUAAUGUGUAUGAGUGCAGAUAUUGAUUAACUUGUUAAAUCAAACACAUACUGAUCUGGUGUAGAUAAGAUCUGGAAUGGAUCAUUGCAGGAACAAUAUUCAUUUUAAAGUUGUCAUUGGUUUAAGCACAGAUUAUUCAAACCUUUGAUUUAAACAUCAUGUUCAUUCAACACAUAUGAUUAUUUAAACUUAUGAGCUUCAAGUAGGUUUGAUUUUUACUUAGAGUGAGGAAUGCAGCAGUCAGGCUCCUGCAUCAGACCUUGGGUGAGAGAACGUUAUGACUUCUUGCAGUAGCAAGAACUGUGGCAACUGUUUGUUUUGGGAGUCAGAGGCCAGACAUGGUGUUGUCCUAUCUGUACAUGAAAGGUUAUCUUGUGGUCAAUUAGAUGGUGAAAAUUGAUCACUUGGUACGUUACGAUAUAUUUAGCAUCAAAUUUCAGCAACAUUUUAGUCGUUUUACAGUUACUUUAUAUCUGGGUCCUUUAUAUGUGAUUCACUGAUUGCAAAUAUAAUAAGCUCUAUUAUAAAACUAAGUGCAGUGGUCACCAGGAGGAGGAGAAAAAGGUCAAAGUUGUCAUAGGACCCAUAAUAUGAGUUUGAAACCUGCCAUAGUCAAAUGAAAUGGUGGUUUAAGAACUUGCACGUUUUAAUGUUGUGCAAACUAAAAAGGCAACAGCUAAAGCUGCAAUGACAAUUUUGGAAAACAAAUGAGCUUAAAUUUUUUUUCAUGUAUCUUAACGUUCCAACAAAGUAUAGAUAUAAAUAUAUUGUAGAGAUUUAAAAAAAAAACAGAAAACCUUAAUAAAAUGGUUCCUAGCAUUUGUCUAAAAAUCUUCACCAUUAAUACGUUUUCGACUGAAAGCAAUUGUUGGACCAUCCGGUUGUUGCAUUCAUAUACUCACCGCUCAAAAAUAUCCAAGAAGGAGAAACAGUCGGCUACUACCACUUCAACUUUAGGACAAAAUAUCAGUCGCAAAAAGAAAAACACCAUUUAAAGUCACGGACAAGUAAAGACAUUUGGACAAAGAAAUUGGCGACUGUUGUUUAGCACGAUCUCGAUUCCUCCGGCAUCGCAGAUUUCUGGUUCCGGCAGAAGCGGCUCAGGGAAGACAUCCAAGGGGACGGGUUAGUAUUCCAUGACCAUGUUUGCAUUAAAAACCAAGCUUGUUUGCAUCUUCAAAGUGGCAGUGUGUAGUUUCCUGCUACUAGGAGGCAGUACAUACAUAUAUUUCAAGAUAGUUUUAUACCAUAUCACUGUGAUUGUCGCUAGCUUAAAAAAAACAUACAGUAAAUGUUAUUAGCUGUGGAGCAGAAAGAAUUCGACUUCAGCAUGACUCCUCAGACUUGACUGAUGGUACUUCAGUUAAUUCCAUCGAGAGAAUGAAUGAUUGUAGUUUUCUGGCGUUGUAGUUUCCGGACGUGCUUGGAGUCCUGUGUCUGCCAAUGAUGUCAUCACUCUAUGGCAAUACCACUCGACCAAAAUAUAUUGCAUUUUUAUUUUGAUUCUGUUCUUUCACAUAUGUUUUGGGAG